rnacentral:rRNA from 1 species
UAUAUUGGACAGGGGGGGAAAGCGUGCCACAGCCACGCCGUGUGUGAGAAGGGGGUCAUGGGAUUGUAAAGACAUUUAUGCAGGGAGGAACGGCAGUUAGUUAAUAACUCGCUGUUUUGUAGUUUCUGAAGGACUAAGUACCUGCUAACCGCCUGCCCGCAGCCGCGGUAAUACGGAGGGUGCAAGCGUUAGUCGGAAUUAUUGGGCGUAAAGCGGCCGUAGGUGGUUUAUUAAGUUAGGAGUGAAAACCCCGGGCUUAACCAGGGAACUGCUAUGGAAACUGGGAAGCUUGAGUGAGGGAGAGGAUGGUGGAAUUUCCAGUGUAGCGGUGAAAUGCGUAGAUAUUGGAAAGAACACCGGUGGCGAAGGCGACUUCCUGGGCUGAGACUGACGCUGAGGUGCGAAAGCGUGGGGAGCGAAC